AUUGAACGCUGGCGGCAUGCCUUACACAUGCAAGUCGAACGGUAACAGGUUAAGCUGACGAGUGGCGAACGGGUGAGUAAUAUAUCGGAACGUGCCCAGUCGUGGGGGAUAACGUAGCGAAAGCUACGCUAAUACCGCAUACGAUCUACGGAUGAAAGCGGGGGAUCGCAAGACCUCGCGCGAUUGGAGCGGCCGAUAUCAGAUUAGGUUGUUGGUGAGGUAAAAGCUCACCAAGCCUGCGAUCUGUAGCUGGUCUGAGAGGACGACCAGCCACACUGGAACUGAGACACGGUCCAGACUCCUACGGGAGGCAGCAGUGGGGAAUAUUGGACAAUGGGCGCAAGCCUGAUCCAGCCAUGCCGCGUGGGUGAGGAAGGCCUUCGGGUUGUAAAGCCCUUUUGUUGGGAAAGAAAAGCAGUCGGCCAAUACCCGAUUGUUCUGACGGUACCCAAAGAAUAAGCACCGGCUAACUUCGUGCCAGCCGCCGCAGUAA
rnacentral:rRNA from 1 species